AUCUCGGUGGUCUAGUUGGUAUGACACUGCUCUAGUGUCGUGGCAAAGGUCGUGGGUUCAAAUCCCACCCGAGUUA